UACGUAGGUGACAAGCGUUGUCCGGAUUUACUGGGCGUAAAGAGCGCGCAGGCGGUCGAUCAAGUCGAGUGUGAAAGCCCCCGGCUCAACUGGGGAGGGUCAUUCGAUACUGAUCGACUCGAAGGCAGGAGAGGGUAGUGGAAUUCCCGGUGUAGUGGUGAAAUGCGUAGAUAUCAGGAGGAACACCGGUGGCGAAGGCGGGUCUCUGGGCCGAUACUGACGCUGAGGAGCGAAAGCGUGGGGAGCAAACAGG
rnacentral:rRNA from 1 species